UUCUUUUUAUAAAACGCCGUGAGUCAACUUUCACUAGUUUCAAAUUUUUCUUCUACAUCAUCACUUCUCUCAGCCUUCAUAGAAUUACAGAGAGUUAGGGCUUGGGUCUGGAUUAGACUUUGGUUUAAGGGAAUAUUAUGGCUUAUUUGAUCUUCUAUCCACUAAGUUUAAUAAUUUCUU